rnacentral:rRNA from 1 species
GUGCCAGCCGCCGCGGUAAUACGGAGGGUGCAAGCGUUGUUCGGAAUUACUGGGCGUAAAGGGCGCGUAGGCGGCUUGAUAAGUCAGAUGUGAAAGUCCAUGGCUCAACUGUGGAAGUGCAUUUGAAACUGUCUCGCUUGAGUAUCGGAGGGGAGUGUGGAAUUCCCGGUGUAGAGGUGAAAUUCGUAGAGAUCGGGAGGAACACCUGUGGCGAAGGCGACACUCUGGACGAAUACUGACGCUGAGGCGCGAAAGCGUGGGGAGCAAACAGGAUUAGAAACCCGGGUAGUCC